ensembl:lncRNA
GAGCAAAGCAAGUUUAAUGCCGUGUUUAGCCAUUGGUCUCUUUCUUAUGUCUGGUCUUCACAAGAUAAGGUCACGGGUUGUUUUAUACGAGUAUCUUUCAUUUAUUUGCACCGUAAACUCAGUCCUUUGUCUGGACAAUUGUUCCUUUAUGAUCUAGUCAGGUCAUUACAACAGUAAAAUGCUCUAAACACACUUUGCUGUCCUGUUUUCCAAUCGUCCACAUGGCUGGGAGAACCUAUUCAAAGAGCUGUGAAAUCCUGUCUACUCAAAGGGGUGCACGUUUUUGCACUGCACAGCUGACACAAAUGAUCAACUCAUCAAGCUUCAAGUGGUAAUUAUGUAUUAAUUUGUGAUGCUGUCCUUGAUAUAGGCGGCAGGAUAGCCUAGUGGUUAGAAGUUUUGGACUCGUAUCCGAAAGGUUGUAAGAUUGAAUCCCUGAACUGACAAGGUAAAAAUCUGUCGUUCUGCACCUGAACAAGGCAGUUAACCCACUGUUCCUAGGCCGUCAUUGAAAAUAAGAAUUUGUUCUUAACUAGUCAAAUAAAAAUAGGAUCCUGCUAUUUACACAUGCAUCUAUCAAUCCAAUGUUAUCAUGAUUUGUUAUAAGGGAUAUUAUACUUUAGUAAGCCACAAUGACCUGGUGAUAUAAUGUCAAUAUUAGACUUAAAUUCCAUAUUCCUACGGAUACCUUGUAACUGGAGAUUCCUUCAAACCGAUUGCCUACAGUUAACAUGUAGGGCACUGCAAGGUUGGGUGACCAGGGCCAUCUGGGACUGCCUCCUGGAGGAAUUCAGGUGUGUGAAGGCUACCUGUGUCCUGCAUAACGUCAUGAGGAUGGACACGAGGACCAGGAGGAGGGGGGGGGUAUGUGUGCUGGAUUUCUUCACCACAUACUUUUUUGAGGAGGGUGCUGUUCCCUGGCAACACUGUAGACUACACUAUGCACAACCAAAGGCUCUUUUAAGAACCAUUCACAUUGCAGUAAGAGUAUUCUUCCAUUUACUUCGCUAUGUCAACUGCAGUUAUAUCAGUUUGAUCUCCAUCUCUUCAUUCAAAGACUCAAUCAUGGACACUCUUACUGAGUUGUUGCUGCUUUAUGUGAUGUAUUGUUGUCUUUACCUCCUUGACCUUUUGUGCUGUUUGUGCCCAAUAAUGUUUGUACCCUGUGCUCUUGUCAUAUUGUUACUACCAUGUUGUCAUGUUGAGUUGCUACCAUGUUGUCAUGUUGAGUUGCUACCAUGUUGUCAUGUUGAGUUGCUGCCAUGUUGUCAUGUUGAGUUGCUGCCAUGUUGUCAUGUUGAGUUGCUGCCAUGUUGUCAUGUUUUGUUACUACCAUGUUGUCAUGUUGAGUUGCUACCAUGUUGUCAUGUUGAGUUGCUGCCAUGUUGUCAUGUUGAGUUGCAGGUAGCCAUGGUUGUCAUGUUAGAG